rnacentral:lncRNA from 1 species
CGAACGGGUCAGAAGCACCUAAACUCCUCAUCUGCCCAGGCAGGUCUGACCGGGCUUAUGGGAAAUGCGCUCACAGGAUUCACUUUUACCAUGUGGAAUGUAACGGAGUGAUGAUGUGUCACUGUGAGCCUUGGUCAGAGAAGCAUGUGGUCUCUUCCUGGUCCUCCACUCAGAAUGACUCACCAGACAGCAGCCAUGUUUGUAGGACUCACAGGCUCCCUGAGGCAUGAAGCCCUUCUGCACAGUUCAGAAGUGAGUCAUAGUGCCUGUGGAUUCUCCAGUCCUUUUGUGGAUUGCUUUCUCAUUGGACAUUUUCUUCAUGAGACUUCCUGGAACAUUCUACCCAGUUUAGCUGCUCUGGGUCUCCGGAAUGUAAGGAACUGAG